AUGAACGCUAGCGGCAGGCUUAACACAUGCAAGUCGAGGGGCAGCAUACCCAGCAAUGGGUGAUGGCGACCGGCGGAAGGGUGCGUAACGCGUGAGCAACAUACCCUAUACAGGGGGAUAAGCCAGGGAAACUUGGUCUAAUAUCCCAUAGGAAAUAGAUAAGGCAUCUUGUUUAUUUUAAAGCUUCGGUGGUAUAGGAUUGGCUCGCGUGACAUUAGCUAGAUGGAGGGGUAACGGCCCACCAUGGCAAUGAUGUCUAGGGGUUCUGAGAGGAAGAUCCCCCACACUGGGACUGAGACACGGCCCAGACUCCUACGGGAGGCAGCAGUGAGGAAUAUUGGACAAUGGAUGGAAAUCUGAUCCAGCCAUGCCGCGUGCAGGAAGACGGCCCUAUGGGUUGUAAACUGCUUUUAUACGGGAGCAAUAAGGUCUAUGCAUAGAUUGAUGAGAGUACCGUAUGAAUAAGCAUCGGCUAACUCCGUGCCAGCAGCCGCGGUAAUACGGAGGAUGCGAGCGUUAUCCGGAUUUAUUGGGUUUAAAGGGUGCGUAGGCGGCUUUGUAAGUCAGCGGUGAAAUUUUGCAGCUUAACUGUAAAAGCGCCGUUGAUACUGUGAAGCUAGGAUUUGGUUGCUGUGGGCGGAAUGUGUGGUGUAGCGGUGAAAUGCAUAGAGAUCACACAGAAUAUCGAUUGCGAAGGCAGCUCACAAAGCCAAUAUUGACGCUGAGGCACGAAAGUGUGGGGAUCAAACAGGAUUAGAUACCCUGGUAGUCCACACUGUAAACGAUGAUACUCGCUGUCGGCGAUAGACCGUCGGUGGUCAAGCGAAAGCGAUAGUAUCCACUUGGGGAGUACGACCGCAAGGUUG
rnacentral:rRNA from 1 species